rnacentral:lncRNA from 1 species
AAAUAUCUUGUAUUCUUGCUCCAAAAUCAAAGCAAACUUUAAUAUAACUACUAACAAACAAUCAAUUCUCAUCAAGAAUUUCCAUGACAAUAUUUCGUCCAUUUCAAAAGUAAGCCAACUGUCAAUGCCAAUUGAAACCAAACUGUUCCGGUGGAUAACGGUGGCCAGCAGUGGGGCUUUUAAUCUUUCUUACUCACUCGGUUUUAGCCUUCAUUUUUUGUGUAUUUUUUCUUUUUUUUUUGCUCAUUCUUUUGCUUGUUGUCGCUGAAGGUCCUUGUGAUAGAUGUUGUCUCCUGG